rnacentral:rRNA from 1 species
GAGACAGCAGCAGCCACGGGAAUACAGAGGGUGCGAGCGUUAAUCGGAUUUACUGGGCGUAAAGCGUGCGUAGGCGGCUUUUUAAGUCGGAUGUGAAAUCCCUGAGCUUAACUUAGGAAUUGCAUUCGAUACUGGGAAGCUAGAGUAUGGGAGAGGAUGGUAGAAUUCCAGGUGUAGCGGUGAAAUGCGUAGAGAUCUGGAGGAAUACCGAUGGCGAAGGCAGCCAUCUGGCCUAAUACUGACGCUGAGGUACGAAAGCAUGGGGAGCAAACAGGAUUAGAUACCCGGGUAGUCCCUGUCUCUUAUAC